rnacentral:misc_RNA from 1 species
UUUGCUAUCAAAUUCUCUGAUAAGGUCAACACCUGUGGUCACUGUAUACAAUUGUAUGUAGGAGGUUAUUUGUCACGUAUAUAAUGCGGAUUCGGUUCGUAAAUAUCAAUAAUUCUGGAGAUAAUUCUAAUCAAAACAUCAAUAUGUCAUAUUAACUAUUAAGCCAGUCUCCCCUAUAUAUAAAACCGCUUCAAUGAAACGUUUAUAUAACAGUGCUCAUGUUGUCAAGGAAAACGCAGUCUCAUCGUAAACAUUGUAUUCAACAACAGUCUGAACAGAACUUUUCAAAAUAACAAUAAGGAUGACUAUUCCAAAUGAUGUAGAACCAAAUGUUCGGAAUCCAAAUAUUCCAUAUGAAACCUUUCGACGUAUGACAUUUUCAUUCACGUAUGAUGAACAGGAAAUAUUAGAUUUAUUCAAGUUAAAUAAUUCUAAUUUUAUACUUAAAGAAAUUUAUCUAAGUAUAAGCCUGGGAUCAAUAGCAAAACGUUAUUGUUCAUUGUUUUGCCUACGCAUUGAUGAAGAGAACAAUAAUUAUCAAAUCAAUUUGAUGGGACUUCAUCGUCAAUUUCAGACUAUUAUAGGUCUUCAAACAUAUAACCAAUUUAGUCGAUGUGUGAAAUGUCGUAAAUAUUUGACUGUUAUUAGUUUUAAUACGUCAUAUCCUGUAACAAGGGUUCCAUUUUACUCAUACGAGAUAAAACUGUCAGAGAUAGAUAUGACUCUAUAAUCCAUUCCAUUUCUAAUUUGGAUUUGGAAGAUAUUAUUUAUAAUCACAUCCACAUGAUAGAGUAAAAAAAUUACUUAUUCACAUACAUUUGGAUCACGGAUGAUGAAAGUACGAUAGUAACAUAGUGUUAUAGCUGUUAUUAACUUACAAUAUCUGGUCGCAUGAACAUAAUCAUUGAGUGAGUCUCACACACACACACACACACACACACAAACACAUAUACUAUAAUAAAAUAUUCAACUUUGUUUU